UUCUCUGAUGUUCCCGCAGUGGCCGCAUUGCCAGUGACGCCUUUCUCAGAACGUGUUUCUGUUGGUAAGCAGCGCGUGACUGUGUAAACGAGGCUGCAUCGGAUGUUCGACACUGUAGCAACUGCAAUAUGUCCAUCUGUUAUGCAGAGAACUAUGGAAGUUUUUCCAGGACUCCUAUCUUCAGAUUAACUUGGAAAUAAAAAAAUAGAAGAUAGCCAUUCAUGCAUUGUGAACAGUGCUCAGAUAGCCCUGUAAUGACUAAGACUUCUGGGAUUAUGAGGAAGAGCAGAGCUGGCUUUUGAAUGACAUGCUUUGACAAGAAUAAGUAUAUCUUGGGGGAAUUUGGCCAACCGCUCAUGCUUGCAUUUGAUCCAGGUACGUGCCUGCACAGUUGCCAAGGUGUCAUUUCUGAAGAACUGGGAGAAAAAACCUUGAUUUCAAUGCUGUC